rnacentral:lncRNA from 1 species
UGGGAACUUGAUAUGGUUAACUUUGACCCAUUUGUUUAGCUUUGUUAUUUGCAGCUCUUUGGGUUAACCCACGCAAUAACAUAGGCAAGUGAGUUCUUGAAACAAAUGUCAUCCAUUUGAAGUAUGUGAUCAAGAAAACUUGAAUAGAAAACAAGGUCAAGUGUUAGUGAUUUGUUCGAGUUCAAACCUGGUAAAAGUAGUCUAAUUAAGCUCCUAAAAUCCUUGAUUUUGUUGAGUCAAAGCUUAAGUAAAAAUUCAGAUAAAAAGUUAAAAAAAAAAUACAAAUUGAAUGCCAAAAUGGGUCUGAAGGAUUUGGUCCUUUGGCGAAUUGACUUCCAAACUCGUUUAACUUGAAAGUGACUGGUCCUGUGAAGGAGGAAAAAAUUACAGAUUAGAAGCCUAAAAUGGGAAUUUAGAUAACGCAAAAGUUAGGGCAGAAAACCUUAAAUACAUUUAAUUUUUCAUCUUUAACAGGUGGGAAGAAAACAACAUGGAAACCAUAAAUUGAAAUCGAAAGAAAAAAAAUUGAUGGAACAAACCUCAAUAUCAACAAAAGUGAACUACAUAAAUGAUUUCCCCCAAUCUACUGAAGUUGUGAGCCGUAUGGUUAACAUUUUAAAGUUAUAACUUCAACACGGCCCAUUUAAACCGAUUUUUUUAUGCUUAUUAACAUUUUAAAGUUAUAACUUCAACACGUUUUGUUAUGAGAACAUAUAUGUCAGGUAUAAGUAAUUGUUAAGAAAAUAACCUGAAUAUCAUGACAAAGGCUAUCAAUCAAUCGUCCUCGUUUAAUUAAACAAAGCAAAUGUGCCCUAUGUACAAGCUCAACGACUUCCUGACGCAAAAAAAAAAAAAAGAAAAAGAAAAAAAA